rnacentral:misc_RNA from 1 species
UAAUAAGUGUUUUAUGGCACUUUUUAAAUCCAUAUCCACCUUGUGUGCAAUGUCAGCCGAUCUUCUUCAUGAGAGCGACCAAACAUCAACCUUAUCUUUUAACUCUUGUCUGAAAAAUAUUAUGAAUAAACAAUUCAAAUA